ACUUGGACCAACCUCUUCCUUUUCCUGACUGCUUAGGAAGGAUGGAAUGUAUUUCCUUCCUUCUGGGAGUGUUUGAAUGAAGAUUAGACUCUCCUUGACCAUGAAUGAAGAGCAACCAGUUUUUUAGUAUACAGUGAUUUAGACUCUGGGUCUAGAGUGUAGAUAUCAUGGGCACUGUGAAAGCACAGAAGGAGAAAAGGUUUUUAUGUGAGUAUAUGGGAGAGGAAAUAGUUUAUUGUCAUAAGCUUUUUGGCUAUGGCCUCCAUUACAUCUCUAGCUUUUGGAAGGCACUAAAUUGAGGCCAUUCAAAUCCAUGUCCACCUAUCCUUUGCCCGUCACGAGACUGAUGGCUUAGGAAGCAUGUGGUCUAGGUACUAGAGAGGGAGCCUGACCCACCUACCUCACCGCUGCUGCUGAAUUUGUGCACAACUCUCUGACCUGGUUCCAUGUCACAAAGGGUUUCAUUCUCUCUGAUUCCCUGAAUCCCCAGCUCUAGCCGCAGAUCCUGGAACCCUAGCAUAUGCCUGAAGCUGAAUAUUUUACUUGCCAGAGUAAGAGUUUUUACAUAGACUCUGUCAUCUUCUACUGGCCCUCCUCUUAAACUGAGGCAGCGGCUGCUAGCUACUCACCAAACCUAUUUUACUUUCUUUUUCUUUUUUUUUUUUUUUUUUUGAGACAGAGUCUUGCUCUGUCGCCCAGACUGGAGUGCAGUGGUAUGAUCUCGGCUCACUGCAACCUCCGCCUCUCAGGUUCAAGCGAUUCUCCCACCGUAGCCUCCUGAGUCGAUGGGAUUACAGGUGUGUGCCACCACACCCAGCUAAUUUUUGUAUUUUUUGGUAGAGAUGGAGGUUUCACUAUGUUGGCCAGGCUAGUCUCUAACUCCUGACCUCAAAUGAUCCACCCACCUCAGCCUCCCAAAGUGCUGGGAUUACAGGCAUAAGCCACCGUGCCUGGCCCCCCAUUUUACUUUCUUCUUUAACAUAUAGUUAGAAUGAAAACAUGUUGAAGGGAUGAUGGCAUUAGAAAAUUACCACUGGCCACUAUCACAGUAAUAAUUGCUUUAGGCAAGAAUGAUCGAUAAAAGCUAAAAUUAAUGGGCAAAAGUAUGAUGAGAAACAGGAUAUUUAUACAAUCGCAAAGUGCCUCCCAAUAAGAUACUUAUUAAAAAGGUAAAAAUGGUAAUUUUCAGUGGAGAAAUAUGGCAGACACCAUAGUAACCAACUGAUCAAAGGGAACAUUGGCAUUAAUGGGACAAAUCAGCAUCACGUUUCUCUUGUCAUGAAGCACUGAGAAGGCCACAGCAUUGCUUCUGAAAUAUUGCAACAAAAAUGAAUAACUUGAAUCUAAUGAUGAGGAAACAUUGGAGAAAUCCAAACCUUGGAACACGCUACAAAACAACUAACUCGUACUCUGAGAAACAUAUCAGUGGACUGGAUUCCAAACAGUGGCUCAUGCCUGUAAUUUUAACACUUUGGGAGGCCAAGUUUGGUGGGGCUUUGUGUCUGAAUUCUGGCCAAUGGAACCACGUGGAGGCCUGGCCCAGAACAUCUCCCUGUGGAUUCUCUCAUCUGGCAACUGGAUGCCUACACGAAGGGUGAUUUUGGAGUCAUGUGUUGGAGAUCACAAAGCUUUUGUCAGCCAGGUUCCUGAAUGACUGCUAGACACCAUGGGCUGAACUUUAUGAGCUCCAGCACCACCUCCAGCCUUCAGUGACUGUCUGGAGCAGGCAUCCGGAUGGAAGAGAAGGGGGACAACCAUGAACUUGGUGACCCACGGUCAGCCUGAUUUCCCUUGUGGACACAUUUAUGCCCAGUGUGCAUUCCUCCUGAGGUCUGUUCCAAGUCUGGAGGCAGCAGAGUAGAGUGGAGAGAACAGUGGACUUGGAAUCUCACCUCCCAGAUUAGAGUCCUGGAUCUGACUUUGAUUGCUGGUGCUGCCUCGGGCAAGUUACUUUAGCUGUGUGCAUCUCCAUUUCCCCAUGGAUAGAACAUGGGUUUUGGGUAGAAGUGUCUGAUAGCUGUACUGUGCUUUACGGUUCAUGAGCACGCACACAUAGGCCCAUAAUAUCAUAUCUCUGGUCACCCUGGCAGGUAGAUAUUAUUGCCCCAGGUUUCAGGUAAGAAGACUAAAGACCAGGGGUCAAUUGCUUGCUCAGAGUCCCACAGCCAGCAGCAGCCAGGCAGGACACCAAGUCAGAGUCUAGAUUCCGGAUCUUGCCCUCUUCCAAGUGUACCACAUUCUUCUCAAAGUGGCCUCUCAGGUCUUUUGUCCAGAAAAUUUUGAGACUUUGAUGAGAAGCCCAUAUCUGCACACUGGGGAUUAGGCCAGAUAACCCUGUGUGUCCUUCCAGGCCUGGUAUUGUGAGGCUGAAGCCUAGUGCCCCACACUCCCUUCCUCACCCCUUAGAGAAAGAUAGAGACUCCAGGGCCAGCCUGGUGGGUGCUGAACCUGCCCUGCUGAGCCAAGCCCAGGAGGCAGCCAAGGUCCUACCAGUGACCUUACCCUGGGGGCCCCUCCAGGUAGGAGCCUGGUUGGAAAAGACAGACCGACUUCUUCUGGGUUGGCUGGAAAAAGAUGACAUACUCAAAGCCUUGUCCUUCCACUUGGAUGCACCUGGUGAAGAUGCGACAGUCACCUUUGUCUGGGGAGAGAUAGGCAGUGUUGCAGCCGGAGAAGGGAGGGUAUGGUCAGGAUGCAGCACCAUUUGGUUGAGUCUUGCCUCUGGUACAAGAUUAAGGAGAGAAAACCAGAGGACACCAGGUCCACCCCCAGGGAGCCUUCCCUCUGGGAGCAGAGGCACAGUUGCUGUCCUCACAGAGCCUUUCUGUCUAGGGCAGAAACAUGCAGGAAGUGCCCUGGCUGAGAAUGGAGAUAGGAUCAGGGCCAGGGCAAGACUUUAAGAGACCAUAAGCAUUGAAAAUUGAAAAUGUAAUUACUCAUGUAACUCACAUAUAAUUCAAAAGAAUAAUAGUAAACAGUAAAAUAAGAGCAGAAAAGUCCAUCAAAGUUCUGAUUUUUUUUUUCCAAGACAGCUACCACUACUACAUCCUUUUUUGGAAGUAUCAAAUUCUUUGAAAAAAAAUUAUGUUGGUAUUCCUGCUUUGUUUGUGCCAUAAACCCAAGGGUAGUCUGUCCCCUGUACCACUCCUUCAUCACUAGGCAGGAAGACAACAUAUAUGAGUGAGAGAGACAGGGAGAUACACAUGCGUGCACACACGAGUGCACACACACACACAAGAAGGUGGAAGCUCUAUCAUUAGGAUCCAUUAGGAUCAUUAGGUGUUUCAGGAGUGCUGCUCCAGACCCCGCACAGCAGGGAUGAUGUGCAGGGCCUCAGUGGAAGGGGUGUGGGGUCCAAGGGCUUUCAUGGGGUUGGGGCGGAAGGCUUGGGAUGAGGCUUGAUAGUUAGGGAGGGGCAGUCAGUGAGAAGUCGGGGCAGGAGCUGGGCUGGCUGUCCUCCAGUGGGGACAUGCUUGGCUGGGAGCGAAGGUGGGCCCACCAGGGUGUGCUGCUUCAGAUGGGAGGAGGGGAGCUGGAGACCUGAGAGGACACCCGCCGCCUGUUGCCUGGGGCUGCAGCAUCAGGGGUGGAGUUGGACAGCAGGAAGAACUCGCUGAGAACUGGAAGGCGGUCUGUGAAGUUGCUUCUCAGUCUUAGAACACAGGGAAGGGCGGCUGGGGUGUGUGUACUCAUGGUCCUGUCCUUACCUGAGGAAACUGCCAGUCCAGAUGGGAGCUUGAGUCCCCGGAUGUGGUCUCUGUUGGACUUGAAGGAGGGCAGCUUGAUCCAGCCGCUAGACUUAGUCUUCUCCAGAAAUUCUUGGUACAGGCUCAGCAUGUCCGAACACCAGCUGGCAUUGGGAAGAGCAUAAUCCUUCAAGUCUGUCUUCUCUGGCAAGAAUCUUGAGAACUGGGCAGGAAAAAUCAGAAUGACUAGACAGCAUCCUGGAGGGGGGCUGCUGCCUGGGCUCGGGACCUCUAAACAGCUGUUCCUGGGUGCUGGGGCUUCUCAAUCCCUUCUGCCAGAGUAUCGAUCCAAGGGAAAGGGCCCAUAUUCCUUGCAGGGGGGCUGCGGACCCCUAUGGGUGACGGGGCAUAAGGAUGCUAAAGAGCAAGGGAAGGGCGGGCAGGGAGUGGGGCCAGAGAUGAUGGGCAUGCUGCUCGAUGUGGUGCCUUACCCUUGUUCUGCUUAAAACAUGUGAGCAGUUCUUUAAAGUUGACAACUGCUCAUAUUAGCCUCACUGUACAGAUGGGGAAACUGAGGGAAUACGGCCAAGGUUGCCAAGCAUGUGACUGUGAGAGCUGGUGGUCGCACUAGAUGCUGUCUCCUCUGCAGGGCAGGGUCACAGUUGUUGAGGACCAUUCUAGCAACCCCCACCUCAGGGGCUACUCCAGCUCUGCCCACUGCUGUGGGCCUGCCUGGGCAGGGUGGCUCCUUUGAAACACAUUUGGGCCCCCACAGAGGUGUGGUGCCAUGGCUGGGGCACAGACUAUGUGCCCAUCUGUGUGACGUAAGGAAGUCCUCUGUAGCGUCACCUGCUCAUACACCAGUCACAACUGUAGACAGCAUGUGAGCUGCUUGCCAAUGCCACAGAUGGGGUCCUCUGUCUGGGGAUACCCCAGCUUUGCUGCAGUAGUCUGAGUCCCACAGGAGGAAAGUCAUUUGUUGGUGGCCACACAAGACACAGAGCCAGAUGCAGGUCUCCUGGUAGUUUUAGUUUUGAAUGGGGGCAACUUGGUAUCCCAGAGCACUUUCUCUUUGCCAAAUCAAAUAGCUCCUCCGAACACUGCCCACCUGCCCUGGCCAUGGGCUGGGAAGAGGAGAUUUGGGGUGCUCCUUAAGCCCUAGGCUCCUGGGAAAACACUGCCCAUCUGGCUGAGCUGGGAACUCACCAUGGAGUCUGUGGAGGAUCCAAAUGCUGAGGCAGGGUUGAGUCUGGGCAGGAUACGGGGGGCCUCAAGAAGGCCUCUGUGGUGGCCAAGUCUUGCUGCCACCUGGAAGCAUCUCCUUAUCAUGGCCAAGUGCAAGGAUCCAGCCCUGCUUGGAUGGAGGGUCUUGGCUGACUCCCAAGGAGUGCUUUCAGCUGCACUUGGGGCCGCUUCUCUCCCUUCUGUUGCAGGCUUUCUUUCAGAGAGCUAGGCGAGGCUGGGCUGGUGUGCUGCAACACCCACAGAUGCUCGGCGCCUUUAGCUGGUCUAGGAGCCCCACCCAGUGCUUGGGGAGGGACAGAUGCUGCUUGGGCAUGAAAAGGCAGCAGGACUGGCUUGAGUUGCAAAAGGAGUAAACAAGUACAUAAACAAAUAGUAUGGGGUAUAUAGAGCCUUGGAGAGCUGCCUGGGGGUUCUGAGGGAGAAUCCAAGAAUAUUUCCAGAAGGAUAAGGGAAGCCUGUCCCUUGAUUGGAGGGUGCUGGUGGAGUGUUCUUGGUAUGUGCUCUGCAGUGUAUACCGGACUCUGAAAACUCUGGUAUGAUUUUGUGACUCAGAAAACCAACUCACAGCCUUAGACACCUCUUUUUUUUUUUUUUUUUUUUUUUUGGUGAGACGGAGUUUCAAUCUUGUCGCCCAGGCUGGUGUGCAAUGGCGUGAUCUCGGCUCACUGCAACCUCCGCCUCCUGGGUUCAAGUGAUUCUCCUGCCUCAGCCUCCUGAGUAGCUGGGAUUACAGACACACACCACCACACCCAGCUAAAUUUUGUAUAUUUUUUUUAGUAGAGAUGGGGUUUUGCCAUGUUAGCCAGGCUGGUCUUGAACUCCUGACCUCAGGUGACCUCCCAAAGUGCUGGGAUUACAGGCGUGAGCCACCGCACCCGGCCAACACCUCUUCUUAUAUCCCGGACAAGGGUUAGCACAGGAGAGUUUCACCUGCUGGUCUCUGGCUGGGGAUAGGAGUUGGAGGUGGGGGAGGGCUUGACAGGGAGGGCAGAAAAUAAUUUGGGAGGAAACAGCUUGGCAGGGAUACUCUCAUUUUUAAAUUGACUAAAAUAAAAGCAUGUUCUAAAGAUCAGUCCUCGCGCAGUGGCUCAAGGCUGUAAUCUCAGCAUUUUGGGAGGCCGAGUGAGACCUUGUCUUAAAAAAAAAAAAAUCAGAACUGUGCAAAGGUGGAAUCAUAACAGUGAUGAUGACGAUAAUAAUAGUUGUGAUGAUUAUGACAUUUUGGCAGGUUCCAAAAGAUGAAACUGAUUUAAUGCGGAAAUUUAAAAGAUUUGGUUCACCCUCUGUAUUUGGUUGCCCUAGAAGAAGACUAGAAUAUAAAUAUUUCCCCUCACCUCCUGCAAAGGUUUGAAUUAAACUUCCUCAAGGACUGGGGGAACCAUUUUUUUUUGUUGUUGUUAUUUUGUCAGAGUCUCACUCUUAUUGCCCAGGAGUGCAGUGGCACCAUCUCGGCUCACUGCAACCUCUGCCUCCCAGGCUCAAGCAAUUCUCCUGCCUCAGCCUCCCAAGUAGCUGGGAUUACAGGCGCUUGCUACUACGCCCGGCUAGUUUUUAUAUUUUUAGUAGAGACGGGGUUUCAUCAUGUUGGCCAGGCUGGUCUCAAACUCCUGGCCUUGGCUGAUCUGCCUGCCUCAGCGUCCCAAAGUGCUGGGAUUACAGGCAUGAGGCACCACGCCCAGCUGGAAGUUUUUUUGGUUGAUUCAGCCUCUGGGUCUAAGCAAAGAUAUUUGAGUUGGUUGCCAUCCCCAGAUAAGUGAGAAUAUCUGGCAGCACUCAUUUUCAGCCCUGGGCCGCAGCCGUUGCUGUGAGGCAGAAAUUAAAAAAAGAUAGUAAGUACUACAUUCAUUCACUCCAAGAAAAGUAACAGACAAGGCUAUAAGAAGGUCAUAGUGACCUAGUCUGAGAAGUAAAAGCCAAGGCCCAGAAUGUGGCAAGGCAAAGGUUAAAAAGAAAGGAAGAGCAAGUUUUUCUCUGCCUAGCAAGCUCACUUCAAAGACAAUUAUAAGAUAAUGCUCUUCGAGAAGUCGAAACCAAAGGAAUAGGCUCCAGACAUCCCCCGUCUGGAGCAAGGGUGAAGGAAAAAAAAAAAAGGACAAAUGUCUGUCUGUAUUUAGCCAGUUCUUGUUUUUUCUUUCCACGCAGCUACAAGGCCACCAGCUAUGCAAAGCCACAAGUUAUGCCAAGUCAUCAGUUAUGCUAUAGAUUAUGUGACCUGUCAUUAUAUGAUUAACUGCCUGUUUUGCUUCUGUAAGCCUGCUUAUAAAAAUCCUGCUCAGUCUUUGUUCAAUGCUCAGCUUUUUGGAUGUGAAUCCACUGAGCCAAUGCCUACCUUAAAAUAAACAUCGUCCUGUUUUUCCAUA
rnacentral:lncRNA from 1 species